UCCUGGAAUCCUCCAAUUCCUGUUCCUCAAGGUAUUAAAGGGAAGGUCUGCAGAUUUUCCAUGAGGAAAAAAACAAAAGGAUCUUGAUACUCUUCAAAACCUUCCCCACGCUCUGCACGGCCCUUCCCCGGACAGUGUGGCUGCUUCGGCUCUCUGCCUACCCUUUUCUCCAGUAUGGGUGGCCAAUCAUCUAUAAAACGAGAAGCUACACUAGGUAAUCAAUAAAACCCAACCAGCCUGCUUACAUGGGUAGCCAUUUGGAGUCGUCUACAAAGAUUCUUCCAUCCUUGGUUCUUGGAACAUACUCAAGAGGAGAGGCCACUCACCACUCAGAUGAUGUGACGGACAAAUGUUGGGGACAUGCCAGCAUGGGGGGAAAAAAGAUGCCUCUUG